AUGGUGAACAACACUGAUUUUCUGAUGUUGAACAAUCUCUGGAAUAAACUCUGUUUGGUUUCCAUGGAUUUCUGUUUCCCUUUAGAUUUUGUUAGUAAUGUAUUUUGGAUUUUUGCAUCCAAGUUCAUAAUUGUAACUGGACAAAUAAAGGCAGAUUUUAAAAGGACAAGUUGGGAGGCUAAGGCGGAAGGAUCACUUGAGCCUGGGAGAUUGAAGCUGCAGCUAGCUUCGAUUGUUCCACUGUACUCCAGCCUGGUGACAGCAGGACCUGCCUCUAAAAUAAUAAUACUUAAAAGGACGAGUUUACCUACAGUCUCACCAAGCAAUGAAAGAGCUUAUCUUCCUCCUGUUUCCUUUACGGAUCUUGCUCAUGUAUUUUAUCUUAGUUACUUUAGCAUAAAUGCUAAAUCAAAUUCUUUUUCACUAGACAUCAUCAUAGCUCUAGGCAUACCACAUAAUACCCAAGCACAUUUUAAUCAUUAA
rnacentral:lncRNA from 1 species